AGAGAGAUGUUUUCUUAAAUGGUUAUCUCGGAAGCUGCUCCCCUAUAAAAAUCUCUACGGGAUGACAUGAUGAAAAUGAUAGAAAUAGCUUCAGCUCAGAGGUAGGUAGGAGGGGCUAGCCUAUCCACUCUUUCAAAAUAUGCCAUCACGGUAACACUUCUGUCCAUGCCUCUGUGGAUGACCACUAUUCAGUUAAUUCAAAAAUAAAAAAGAUGAGAAGCCUAGUCUGAUGACAUUAUCAAAGACAGCCUAACCUUUUUGUUGAAGGAUCUGACUAGGUUAAGUCAAAAUCAGAGGCGAGGAGGCCCUCUUGGCCUGGUCUCUGCCUUGUCCCCUGAUCGAACAGGCCCCUCGUCAAGCCAUUGGAAGAAACAGCACACUGAGGGCCCUUAAAACGCUCUAGACCCAAAACAGAGAAAGAGCAGUCAUCCCGUGGCAUCUAAGACAUGAGAGCACGAACUCUUGUCUUGUGGGACGGUGAUCACUUGGUCCCUUUCGACUUGAAUACACCAGCGAUGGCUGAAAGUUAUGGACACUGUUUCUGACCCGACAAGAGAGAAUUUUCCUUUGGCCAAGACUUAGGGGACUUGGAACAGUCUAACGCCUGGUUACACAUCAGGCUCUAACCACCUGAGCUAAGAGUUCGUUCCAGUAGACAUCAAGAUUCAAGGAGAGCCAUAUGUCACCUGGGCAAUUAAGUUUCAAAAGAAAAGGAAAAGAGAGAAGUUCAAGUAUGCUCUGAAGAAGCAUCGAGCCACAUCACCAAAGUGGAGAGAUGGGAUUUACUUUAUUUUCCUUAUGGAGCCAUCACCAGGUCCUGGAGGUUUUCCAAAGUUCCUACCGUUGUUCUGAAUGUCAAGGUCAGGCCUGCUACAGCAUGUCCUGUUACAUUACCAAAGGGAAAAGGGGGAGCAAGACCCCAACAGGAAGGACAGUGAUAUAGAGGAUGGAUGUCUAGCAUGACAAGGAGCUGUCAUGAUGAACUUUCCUACAUUAACCAAAAAAAAAAAAAAAAAAAAAAAGGUAAGGAAACCACAAAAUUUUUUCCAAAAAUCUAAAGUAGAUUUUUGUUUGAAGUAGAGCAGGAAUUAACUGUGAAUAUCUUGAGCGGGCAUAAAACUAAUAUACCUUAGGAUAAAAGCAGAGGCAGCCUAAACUUGCCUAUGACACUCACAGAGUCAAAUUUAUGAUGGGCUAAUUGGUAAGUAGAAUGUUAUUAAGAUGUGUACAGACCCUUUUUUUUUUUUUUUUGCUUUGCUUUGCUGUGUCCUUCUAAUUUUAAAAGUCUGCCCAAAUGUGUUGCUUAUAAAUCAUACCCAAAACAGAGCUGUUUAAAAAAGAAAAGUUAUAUUUCUUUUUAGGGGAAAAAAUUGAGUUCUCGAGUCCAACCUACUUCCUUACUUACAUUUUACUUAAUUACAAACAAAGACAUAAUGCCUUAUUUUUAUGUACCCACAAGAGCCAGGCAGACUGUAAUUUUUAUUGCAUGUUAAGUUUUCAUUGGAUCACAGUAUUAUUAAGCUUUAAAUCAGAGGGUUGGUUCCUUCAGCGAAGUCUAACCACACCAGCAAGUAAAAAGAAAAAAAAAAAAAAAGAACACCUCAUCUGGGGCUGUAAUAUUUGCUGAAAAAAAUCUACUUCAAAACAUUAAUCAAAUUUUUCGCCUACUGGGCAACCAUAUGGUAUAGCAGCAUGUGAAUCUCACAAACUUGCUGAUCUCCUGUUACUGGGUGCAAUUAAUUACGCUGGCUGCAUCCAUCUCUUGGAUUUUCGCCUUGUGAAAAAAGUAUUUAUUGCAACAGCUUUUACAAAACAAGGGAAUGAAACUCACAAUUGAUUAAUGAGCUGAAUGGAAAUAUUUCCGUUAGCAGAUUUUUAAAAUGAAUAAGGAUUAAUACCAUGGAUAGAAGGGAACACACGUCGAGAUCUCCCUGUAGUCUGUGGACCCCCCAAAAGAAGGGGGAGGAAGGGUGGGGAGUGCGGGUGCCGGGAGCUCCAACCUGCGUAAUUCACCAGCCGGCUUUAGAUCGCAGGUAAUAAAGCCUUAAACCAGAGAGGGAAUAAAGAGGUUGGCUUUACAAGAGACUAUGCUGGGAUACAAAAAGCUUGUUUUCUGAUGUGAAAACAGAGGUAUUAAACACUCAGUGGGUGAGGAACGUUACAGGCCUGACAAAGAACGAAAGGGAAGUGGCUCUUGGAAGGGAGCAACCUACUUUGUCCUUAGUCAUUUAGGCGCAAAGAUUGCUGCACAUAUGGUCGGAUUACAGUUUUAAAACCCCUCCAUAAAAGCAGGCAUCUGAGAGUAAGUCAGGACGGUAACAAUGUCCUUAGCUGCUGGCUAAAGGUACAAACAAUGCAUAAUUGCACCGUUUUUCACACCAGGAAAUGCAUCUUUCAGCCCAUAUGCACUUGAUUUUUCCUAACACUGGAACGCUUCCUGGGCUAAACCAUGAGUCCUGCCUUCUGGAGACGACCUCUUGAUGUGCACGGAGGUCACUGUCCUCCAAAGGAGAGUCACAGACCCAGGGCUGGACGUCUUAAAGGACAGCAGAAGCAAGGCGCAUUCUGCCCCUUUUCAGAAUUGCCCUCUGGGCUUGAGACCAGCCAGGGUACCAAGCAUUAAUGCUGCCAUCAUCUCAGGAAGCUCGGUCCCCCUUUCUCUGAAAAGACAGCAGAAGAGACCAGUCCCAAUAUUUGCCAUUUGUUAAAUACUUAUCUUGGGAAAACAGACAAAAUACUAACCAUAAGUGGAAGAAAUACAUAAGCUGGAGGGAUCAGAUACUGCAUCACUUUUACGACCGAGGAAGAGGAAAGCUGUAAAGAACAAGCUUUGCAAUUCAACACUUAAGCCAAGCCUUCGCUUUGCUGUCCCUACUGUAAACUUUGCCCAGAAAAUUCUGCAAAGGGCUUGGUUAGAGAGAGCCUGUCACUGUAUUAACAUCCACGUGCUACGUGUAGCCAACAUGACGCCUUCUCCCCUGGUCUCACUUGUCAGUUCUGUGCCACUGUCCAGAGAAGACAAAAUCUUUUGUAAUCACUUGAUAUGCAAGAGCACCCAGGACAAGAGGAAUAUAUUCUUAUAAAGCCGAGGCUUAAUGGGUGGUAUUUUAAACAACACUAUCAAAACUCAAAUAACUGACUCCUAUGUUAACGGAAACAUACAGGUGUACCUCAUUUUAUUGUUUCCUGCUUUACUGUGCCUCAAAGAUACUGUAUUUUUUUUUCACAAAUUAAAGGUUUGUGGCACCGCUGCAUCAAGCAAGUCUAUCAGUUUCAACACCAUCUGCUUGCUUUCCAUCUCUGGAUAUGUUUCGUUAAUGCUCCCAAUAUCUCAGUAUGUUUCAAUAUUAUUGUAUUUGUUAUGGUGACCUGUGGUUAGUGAUCUCUGACGUCAGUGCUGCUACAAGGUGACAACCCACUGAAAGCUCAGAUGAUGGUUAGUAUUUUUUAGCAGUAUUUUUGAAUCAAAACAUGUACUUUUUGUAGAGAUAACGCUUUGGCGCACUUAGCCGACUAUGGAAUAAACAUAACUUUUACAUGCACAAGGAAACCAAAAAAAUUUGUGUUACUUUAUUGUGAUACCCCGUUUAUUCUGUCAUGGUCUGGAAGUGAACCUGUAAUAUCGCCGAGGUGUGCCGGUUGGUUUAACUUUGGAGACUCUGAUGCCAUGGAGGGAAAAAAACACUGUGUAUUUCAAAUGAGCAGGCAGGUCGAGGUGGGGAAGAGCUUCUGAAGGCCACCAUUCAGGGUGCUGGAAAGAUAACUUUCAAAAUCAUUGCAGUUGAGAGUCAGAGGAGCUUGAUAAACAAAAAAGACAUUUGGAAGACACUAUCGUCCAGUGAAAAGCAGGAGGAACUUACCAAGAAAAUGUGCUUGGCCUCUGGAAGGGGGGGAAAGAAGUAUCCAAUGGCAAGUGAGUAACCCGACUCCUUAAACCAGUGACCCAGCCAUGUCCACCACUCCCCAGCACCACCUCUCAAACGAUCUCUGCAGCCCUCCUACGUGCAAUGGUUGUUGGCUUAGAAGUUUAAAGAGCUAACAAAAUGUUUUAACGAGAUACAAAUCUCAGAGAUCAUUAAUCAAUAUGUUCAAUGUUAUUUGUGAUAAUUCAUCAUGACAUGAUAUUAAUGGGUUACUGUACCCUUCAGAGGUGAGAUUAAUGCAAAUGAGCCGCCACAAUUAACUUUACUGCUCCCAACUCACAGGAAUGGACAGAUGAUUAUAAAUGACAACUACAUGUCAAUUACAAUAUCCAAUAAAGUGAAGCUUGGAGAACAAUCCAUCUCCUUUUAUUGCUCUUCCUUGACGUCGCUGAAUUUAGCUCAGCCCACUGUUGUCACGAUGUAGCCAUUGUUUGGGGGAGGGGAAAGGGUUUUUCUUUUCCUACCUGUUCUUUCUUCUACAUUUUUUUCAGUAGUUUAAAAAGUGCUUCCUAAAUGCCUGCGUAAGGACAUUAUCUAAAGGAGCAACAGCCACAGGAAACCAGGAGUAAGUGCCACGUUCAUUCUAGGUGAGUUAAGGAGAACUGGAUCCCUGUUCGAAUUGGAGCAGCAAGGCCAGCAAGAAAACAAGCUGUCCAGCUGCGUAUAAUAUAUUUACUCAAUUAAAAAAAGAAGAUAUUAGCACAGCAUCCUGAAGAGCCGUGAGCUUCACUAAACCCAAGUUAUUGGAGGAUCACCGUGGAAAUGAAGAGGUCGCAAGGUGGAAAGGGAGGUACGGGGCCAACGGCAGGAGGGUGGUUUAAAGCCAGUUGGCAGACCUGCAAUUGGGGUGUUUGGGAAGACCAGGUACAGGGCCCCACCUGAACGGUUUCUGAUCCUUGCAUGCCCCUUCCUUCCAGGAGAGACAACUGGUACAGACUGGCACAGUGGUCCCCCCUCAGCCCCUGUACUGAGCAGGUACACCCAGCACUGUGGGUGUCGGCUGCUACCCUUUCUGCCUCGCCUGGGAGGGUCCCCACGCCACCCCCUUCCUUGGCAGAUGUUGGCCCAUCACCAUCAUCGCCAGGCCCUGGUCCGAAGCAGGACCCACUCUGUGGCACCAUUCACGCUCCACAGCUCCCGGGGGACCAGCCUGAAACGGGUCACAUCCUUGUGCAACACUUCCCCCGCCCUGGGCCGUCUCCUCCCCCCCGGCUCCUGAAGGCACAACCCCCACCUCACUUGAACAAGCACCCUGCUUGGGCUCUGCUUCUAGGAAGAACCUAAGGCCAGGUGUCUAGAUGGAAACAGGAACACUCUUCCUGCCCUGGCAUUUACAAGGAGAACCGCUCUCUAGCAGGCAGUGGUAAGAGAGCAGCCGAGGCGCUCCCUUUGGAAGAUGCGCCCAGAAGGGGUUGCGUCCUCACAUUUCCAUAAAUAUGUAAAAUCACCACGUAAGGCUGUGGGAGGAUCGGUGUGGAUGGUGGAAGCAACAGCUUUAUCUGUCCAGGUUGCUCCCCAAGUCCCUUCAAGCUGCCAACAUGGAGCUCUUUCUGCCCUUAGGGAACUGGGCCUCUUCCUCUGCUCUACCAAGGGGGGCAGGGUACCUGACUCCAACCUUCAAAGAACCCUAUUCCCCGGGUCAUCACUUUCAGGGACAGUGUCUGCCUCCAGCCAGGCCAAUCAAGUCUGCCUGUGGCUUCUAUGCUGGGGCGGUGGUGGGGGGACAGACUUCCUGGUGUCCAGGUGGCAAGGCUGGGACGCUGCUCAUCUCUCAGUGGCCAUGCUGAUCCCCACUCCGAGAGAACGUUCUCCAAAGACUGUAACAAAUCAAAGAGCAUUGAAACCAAGAGACUGGAUCAAGGCAGAGCCCUGAUGACAUAUGUGAGCUCUGGAAAAGGCCUGAUUCAAACCACAGGCUGGCAAACUGUGACCGCUGGGCCAAAUCUGGACCUUGCCAUUUGUGCAGCCCAGGGCCUAGAAAUGCUUUACCUUUCUCAAGUCAUCGAAGGAAAAAAGAAGAAUACUUUGUGGGAAAGUACAUGAACUCCAGACUGCAGCCUCCACGAAGCUUCACUGGAGCACAGCCACGCCCCACGGGCUCACCGACUGUCUGUGCCCGGAAGAGGUGAGCACCUGCAGACCCAAAAUACCCAUCCUCUGUCCUGCCGCAGAGAAAACGUGCUGACCCCCGUGCAAAACUUCGCCUUUCGGGAGUCACAGGUGGCCACUUCCGCUCAGGGUAGCUGAAACAUCCUAAUUAACUGACGAGUCCAUUCUCAGCUCUUCCCCACAAACCAGGGCGCCUCUGCCUGCCUCAUCUGCUGAGAUCCUGAAGAGAAGGACUCACAUCCAGCAGGGUGUUUCUCCUACCUGCUCCCUGGGAGUGAGCACCUUCUUUGCUGAACAUCACAAAGUGUUGAACAAAGUGUUAAAACGUGCAAAACAUACAGUAUCAAUCAUUCCAGUUGAUGGGCGGUUCUAAGCCAAGCAGUAAAAGAUACAGGAGAUUAAAGAUGGGAAAGAAGCUUUCCUUUUUUUCUUUUUCAUGUACCUGCAGAACAUAUUUAAUUUGAAAGGAAACCUCAGCAGCGCCAAAGGGCUGUCCCAGCGGGGCCAGCCUGCCUCGGUGAGCUGCAAGGGGCCGGAACACACGUCCCGACUGUUGAAACUUGGGGGCCUGGUGAGAACAGUGUGAUGCUGAUGCCUUUUACAGCAGAUCACAAAGAGACGAGAGGGAUUCACUCCCUUCACUUUGGGGUUCCUGUUUUCCAGGAGGAGAUAGUCCUAGGUUUAAACUGCUGUCCCCUGUUCCCUCUGCAUUCACCCUGCUCUCCGGACAGAGAGCGCGAGCAUCUUGCAAACAGACUCACGCUGCCUCUGCCC
rnacentral:lncRNA from 1 species